CCCUUCAGUGCGACUCAGAUGGGUUUUGGACGGGUAGCGUUUCUACUUGCUCACCGCCCGUAGAAGUUCCGGAUAAGUGCAGUGCCCCUUACGUUCCAAGAUAUGCAUCCAUCCAAGGCCUGCAACUGAAUUAUGACUAUGGUGACAGCAUUACCGUGACAUGUGACAAUAGCAGUGAUCGGUUUAACCUUCAGUGUGACACGAAAGGUCGAUGGAACGGACAUGUAGUGUCAUGUCCUGUACCUACCCCAGCCCCUAUACGAUGCACUAGUCCAUACAUCCCAAAGUACGCAUCAGCUGAAAACAUACGUUUCGUCUACAGCCUCGGUGAGAGUGUAACAAUCACCUGUGACAGCAACACAGACAGGUCGUUUACUCUUCAGUGCAACCCAGAUGGGUUUUGGACGGGUAGUGUCCUUUCUUGC